rnacentral:rRNA from 1 species
UACGGGGGGGGCAAGCGUUGUUCGGAAUUACUGGGCGUAAAGGGUUUGUAGGUGGUCUGUUAAGUCAGACGUGAAAUCCCUCAGCUUAACUGGGGAACUGCAUCUGAUACUGGCGAGCUUGAGUGCAGGAGAGGAACGCGGAAUUCCAGGUGUAGCGGUGAAAUGCGUAGAUAUCUGGAGGAACACCGGUGGCGAAGGCGGCGUUCUGGACUGCAACUGACACUGAGGAACGAAAGCCAGGGGAGCAAACGGG